GGCUGCCAAUGCGAAUUGACCCACAUCUCCAGAAGAUAUGGUUGCACCAUUGUCUACAAGAAGUUUAACAACGGAUUCAUGCUUCCCCAGUAAUGCUUCCCAAAGGGGAACAUUGCCUUCUGAAUCUUUCUUGUUAGGAUCAGCUCCAUACUCUAGAAGGAGGACUACACAAUGCUCACUCCCAUUUGAAGCUGCAAUGUGCAAUGCAG
rnacentral:misc_RNA from 1 species